GCCCUCCUGAUUCCUCCAGGUUCCGGUCAUCUGUUCAUCUCCACUCUCUGCUAUAUCUUUGGAACCAUCUACCACAUUCCAGUCCUGCUGUUUGCCCCUGAUCGCCAGCUCUCCGUCACCCCACCUAUCCACCUGCAGCUCCUCGGUCUCCCCAUCCAGCCAGGUCUGACUAACCCCCCCACAAAAUACCGGAUCAUCCAGGAAACAACCCCACGGAUCCCUCCAGUCCUGCAGAAGCUUCGGCUACCUCUCCCAUUCAAAAUAAAUCAUUUAAACUUAC